rnacentral:rRNA from 1 species
GACGAACGCUGGCGGCGUGCUUAACACAUGCAAGUCGAACGGUAAGGCCCUUCGGGGUACACGAGUGGCGAACGGGUGAGUAACACGUGGGUGAUCUGCCCUGCACCUCGGGAUAAGCCUGGGAAACUGGGUCUAAUACCGGAUAGGACCACUGCCUGCAUGGGUGGUGGUGGAAAGCUUUUGCGGUGUGGGAUGGGCCCGCGGCCUAUCAGCUUGUUGGUGGGGUGAUGGCCUACCAAGGCGACGACGGGUAGCCGGCCUGAGAGGGUGACCGGCCACACUGGGACUGAGAUACGGCCCAGGCUCCUACGGGAGGCAGCAGUGGGGAAUAUUGCACAAUGGGCGCAAGCCUGAUGCAGCGACGCCGCGUGAGGGAUGACGGCCUUCGGGUUGUAAACCUCUUUCAGCACCGACGAAGCGCAAGUGACGGUAGGUGCAGAAGAAGGACCGGCCAACUACGUGCCAGCCGCCGCAGAAA